UUCUUUAUAUUCAACAUUUGUCAUUGAGGCCCGCCAUGGUUUCAUCAAAGGACAUGAUUAAAGGAAUCAUCCUAGCAACUAUAAUUGGACCGCCUAUUGUCGCAGCAAUUAUUGUAAUAGUACAGAAAGGAAGUCCUUCGCCAUCUAUCUUUGGGGGUUUCUGCUUGUACUAUCUCUUGUGAUGAUGAUUGUGCACGACGUUUUAAUUGCGUCACUUUUUAACAAGCUCACUCCACUUCCGGAUAGAGAACUCUGCAUGGUUGAGAAGCUAUUUAUUCACUACGUGGUCAGAUCUUAUCUUGGGUUAUUUGAACAGGUUUACUGUCAAUAAGUUGCGUUGACUGUUUAUUUGAAUAGGUUUACCGUCAAUAAGUCGGUGAUUCAUCAGAGCGAUUUCGAAGUUCUCU